rnacentral:lncRNA from 1 species
UUAAAACAAUAGACAUUUAUUGUCUCACAGUUCUAGAGUCUAGAAGUCCAAAAUCAAGUGUCAGCAGAAUCGCGCUCCCUCCAAAACCUGUCAGGAAGAGCCCUUUUCUGCUUAAUCCUAGCUUACAGUGGUGGCUUCGAUCCUUAUGGUUCCUUGGUUCGCAGCUGCAUCUCUGAAUAACUGAUUGCUAAAGAAGUUAAGAUCCUCUCUUCUUCAUUUAAGCACGUAUUUUGCAGCCUCUUUAUGAAGUUCCUCUAGUGGGCAUUUUUCAAGAGUAUUCAGCAUGGAAGGCCACAAGCUCCCGGGCAAAUUUGAAAGAAGGUGAAAUGCUCCUGUGAGCCUCUCCCCACCUCUGCUGCGCUCCUUCCACACCUCUGCCCCUGGCUUCAGGAUGCUCAGGCGGCCCCUGGAGGUUCUGAUUCAUCUGGCUGGUGAAAGAUGCACCGGCGAGAAUUCUCAUAAGGCGAAUAGGCAUGCAUAGUUGAGGGGCACGUCUUCUCCAUCUCCUUGAGAACCUUACUAACACCAAUUCCCCAAGCCAACAGGAGAAUAGGGGCUUCUACCGUGGCUCGCCAGCAUCCAAAGAUGGUGCCUCUGAAAUUCAUCUCAUCUGAGAUGCUGACAGACUGAGUAAUAAAUACUACGGAUAUGGUGAAUUAUUAUCAAUUGAGUGUGUUGCAUCCUAAAGAUGCAAAACAAUAUGCUCUCAAAUAAAACUGGGAUCAUUUUCACUUCAGUCUAUCACAGGAGGCUUGUUGUUACCUUCCCACUUCCUUCUUUGAUCUCAGUGACCAGGUCGCUCUCCAACUCAAAAUCCUUCAAUGGCU